rnacentral:rRNA from 1 species
CAGCAGCCGCGGGAAUACGUAGGUGGCAAGCGUUGUCCGGAAUUAUUGGGCGUAAAGGGCUCGCAGGCGGUUUCUUAAGUCUGAUGUGAAAGCCCCCGGCUCAACCGGGGAGGGUCAUUGGAAACUGGGAAACUUGAGUGCAGAAGAGGAGAGUGGAAUUCCACGUGUAGCGGUGAAAUGCGUAGAGAUGCGGAGGAACACCAGUGGCGAAGGCGACUCUCUGGUCUGUAACUGACGCUGAGGAGCGAAAGCGUGGGGAGCGAACAGGAUUAGAUACCCGAGUAGUCCCUGUCUCUUAUAC